rnacentral:rRNA from 1 species
GAAUAUUGGACAAUGGGCGAAAGCCUGAUCCAGCAAUGCCGCGUGAGUGAUGAAGGCCCUAGGGUUGUAAAGCUCUUUUACCCGAGAUGAUAAUGACAGUAUCGGGAGAAUAAGCUCCGGCUAACUCCGUGCCAGCAGCCGCGGUAAUACGGAGGGAGCUAGCGUUGUUCGGAAUUACUGGGCGUAAAGCGCGCGUAGGCGGCCUAUCAAGUCAGAGGUGAAAUCCCGGGGCUCAACCCCGGAACUGCCUUUGAAACUAUUAGGCUAGAAUCUUGGAGAGGCGAGUGGAAUUCCGAGUGUAGAGGUGAAAUUCGUAGAUAUUCGGAAGAACACCAGUGGCGAAGGCGACUCGCUGGACAAGUAUUGACGCUGAGGUGCGAAAGCGUGGGGAGCAAACAGG